UGCAGUUUAUCCAGUUCCUUUUUAGGUUCUCAUUGGCAGACAAAGCAUAUUGCAGAUCCACUUCCCUAGACUCAAGCUUAAUAGCCAACAUCAUUGAGAUGUAACACUUCACCAUGCAUGAAAACAAGCUCCUCAUCCUUGGUGAAACAAGCAAAUCGUAGCUCCGAAUUAACACGUUCAAGGUCUUGGACCACCGGUGCAACACGACUGACUUUCUUCUCUGCAGCUUCUAACAUCUUAUGAGUCAUACUAAACUUAGC
rnacentral:lncRNA from 1 species